AUCUUCGACAAUGGGCGAAAGCCUGAUCGAGCGACGCCGCGUGAGGGAUGAAGGCCUUCGGGUUGUAAACCUCUAAAAGAGGGACGAUAAUGACGGUACCUCUUGAGAAGCACCGGCUAACUCCGUGCCAGCAGCCGCGGUAAUACGGAGGGUGCAAGCGUUAUCCGGAAUCACUGGGCGUAAAGGGCGCGUAGGCGGUCUGUUAAGUCCGAUGUUAAAGACUGGGGCUCAACCCCAGAUACAGCGUUGGAUACUGGCAGGCUUGACGGAUGGAGAGGCGAGUGGAAUUACCAGUGUAGCGGUGGAAUGCGUAGAUACUGGUAGGAACACCCAUUGCGAAAGCAGCUCGCUGGACAUAUCGUGACGCUGAGGCGCGAAAGUGUGGGUAGCAAACAGG
rnacentral:rRNA from 1 species